UGCAGUCGAACGGCAGCACAGAAGAGCUUGCUCUUUGGGUGGCGAGUGGCGGACGGGUGAGUAAUGUCUGGGAAACUGCCCGAUGGAGGGGGAUAACUACUGGAAACGGUAGCUAAUACCGCAUAACGUCGCAAGACCAAAGUGGGGGACCUUCGGGCCUCACACCAUCGGAUGUGCCCAGAUGGGAUUAGCUAGUAGGUGGGGUAAUGGCUCACCUAGGCGACGAUCCCUAGCUGGUCUGAGAGGAUGACCAGCCACACUGGAACUGAGACACGGUCCAGACUCCUACGGGAGGCAGCAGUGGGGAAUAUUGCACAAUGGGCGCAAGCCUGAUGCAGCCAUGCCGCGUGUAUGAAGAAGGCCUUCGGGUUGUAAAGUACUUUCAGCGGGGAGGAAGGCGGUGAGGUUAAUAACCUUGCCGAUUGACGUUACCCGCAGAAGAAGCACCGGCUAACUCCGUGCCAGCAGCCGCGGUAAUACGGAGGGUGCAAGCGUUAAUCGGAAUUACUGGGCGUAAAGCGCACGCAGGCGGUCUGUUAAGUCAGAUGUGAAAUCCCCGGGCUUAACCUGGGAACUGCAUUUGAAACUGGCAGGCUUGAGUCUCGUAGAGGGGGGUAGAAUUCCAGGUGUAGCGGUGAAAUGCGUAGAGAUCUGGAGGAAUACCGGUGGCGAAGGCGGCCCCCCUGGACGAAGACUGACGCUCAGGUGCGAAAGCGUGGGGAGCAAACAGGAUUAGAUACCCCUGGUAGUCCACGCCCGUAAACGAUGUCGACUUGGAGGUUGUGCCCUUGAGGCGUGGCUUCCGGAGCUAACGCGUUAAGUCGACCGCCUGGGGAGUACGGCCGCAAGGUUAAAACUCAAAUGAAUUGACGGGGGCCCGCACAAGCGGUGGAGCAUGUGGUUUAAUUCGAUGCAACGCGAAGAACCUUACCUGGCCUUGACAUCCAGAGAACUUAGCAGAGAUGCUUUGGUGCCUUCGGGAACUCUGAGACAGGUGCUGCAUGGCUGUCGUCAGCUCGUGUUGUGAAAUGUUGGGUUAAGUCCCGCAACGAGCGCAACCCUUAUCCUUUGUUGCCAGCGGCUCGGCCGGGAACUCAAAGGAGACUGCCGGUGAUAAACCGGAGGAAGGUGGGGAUGACGUCAAGUCAUCAUGGCCCUUACGGCCAGGGCUACACACGUGCUACAAUGGCGCAUACAAAGAGAAGCGACCUCGCGAGAGCAAGCGGACCUCAUAAAGUGCGUCGUAGUCCGGAUUGGAGUCUGCAACUCGACUCCAUGAAGUCGGAAUCGCUAGUAAUCGUAGAUCAGAAUGCUACGGUGAAUACGUUCCCGGGCCUUGUACACACCGCCCGUCACACCAUGGGAGUGGGUUGCAAAAGAAGUAGGUAGCUUAACCU
rnacentral:rRNA from 1 species